AGUAUGGCCAGAACUCUAUACUUAUAACAUUUUCAGCUACUUUUAUGACUUCAGGAAUGCGUAGGUAAAAUCUGUCUGGUUUAAAUGGCCCACGGUGUUUGUAUUUUUGUUUCUAUUUUACUAAUAACUAGUUUGAGCAAACUAACCAGUUUUAAGAAUAAAAGCGUAACCUGAGAGAAGAGUGAAGUGUGUAAUCCUGAAAAGACAAACUCUAUUCUUUGUUAGUUAGUGUUAGUCUUAUUGACAACUACAUAGUACCUACACGUUUUGAUGUAGGUACCUACUUAUGCUAUAUCCUAUUUUAAAUAGUUUUAUAUUACUUUAAAUUAGGUAUAUACGAGUACAAAAAGUACUAAAUGCGUCAUGCACCUAAGUUCUAUUAUUGUAAAGGCUCAAUUUUCAGUAGUAUUCUGGAGGGAUUUAUGUAAAAUAUCACGCGUUGUGUAUUAUAUGCACUGAUAAGAAAUACCUACUGGAGGCGUAUUUAGAUUUAUUUAAAUAUGAUAUUGACAUGAUAUUAAAUUUGGUGCCAGCGAGAUGGACAUAUUUUUAAAAGCUGAAUACGCGUCCAGCACUCUAGAUAAAUUUUGUUGGCGUCGAUUUUUGUAUAACCUCCUCAAAGAAUUUUUGAAAACCAUACAUAUAAAUGUCUAUUAGAAACUUAGUCAGCAUUUGAAAAAUUGAUAAUAUAAUUUCUACCUGAGCGGACCGUUUUUUAAAUCCGUAAGUAUCUACCCUAAGAACAAUUUAAAUUACUUUCUAUGAAAAUAUUUUAAUUUGUGUUAUUUCAAGUAGACACACUACUAUUUCGGUUUAUUCGUAAAUGAUUACCUACAUAACUUACUUGAGUGAUAUUUUCUAUUGAUUUUCCGAGAUCAUAUAAUAUACAUCUUAUAAUUUAUAGAAUAUGUAUGUGCCAACAGUUUAAUUCACAAGACGAAACGGACUGCUGUUUGCAUAAUAUACUUACUUAGCAGAAUUUAUUUGUAACCGACUUCAAAAAAGGGGAGGAUUUUAAUUCGUCAGAAUUUAUUUUUAGUAUAGAUGGGUGCCCUGUAGUUAAGGUACCAGAUUAUAUUAUGAUUCCAACUUAAAAAAUUAUAGCGGUUAUGGGCGAAUGAGAUAUCGCCGGUGGAAACAUUGCAUACUGUUGAUUUUUUUUGUAAACCGCCUAUGUGUCGUCUUUGUGAUAUAGUAAGUACUCUAAUAUUGUAAAAUUUCUUCCAUGCCUUAUUAAUAAAGAGGUAAAUCAUGUUACUUAUGUGCAACAAUUAUCAACAUAAUCAUAAAUGUUUAUAUCUAUAUGCUCUGUUUGUUGAAGAAAUUAGGUGUGACAACACUUGACCUGGUUAAUAAGGUUUAUUUACAGGCUUUGUUGACACUAGUUGUAAUGCUAAAUUUGUAUUGUAAAUAUAUUAUAUGCUGUUAUAUUGAGA